UACGGGGGGGGCAAGCGUUGUUCGGAAUUACUGGGCGUAAAGGGCUCGUAGGUGGCCAACUAAGUCGGACGUGAAAUCCCUCAGCUUAACUGGGGAACUGCGUCCGAUACUGGAUGGCUUGAGUUUGGGAGAGGGAUGCGGAAUUCCAGGUGUAGCGGUGAAAUGCGUAGAUAUCCGGAAGAACACCGGUGGCGAAGGCGGUCUGCUGGGCAGUUGCUGACACUGAGGCGCGACAGCGUGGGGAGCAAACAGG
rnacentral:rRNA from 1 species